rnacentral:rRNA from 1 species
UACGUAGGGUGCAAGCGUUGUCCGGAAUCAUUGGGCGUAAAGCGCGCGUAGGUGGCUUCGUAAGUCCGUUGUGAAAGUCAAAGGCUCAACCUUUGAAUGCCGAUGGAUACUGCGAAGCUAGAGUACGGAAGAGGCGAGUGGAAUUCCUGGUGUAGCGGUGGAAUGCGCAGAUAUCAGGAGGAACACCAAUAGCGAAGGCAGCUUGCUGGGACGAUACUGACGCUAAGGCUCGAAAGCGUGGGGAGCAAACAGG